AACGAACGCUGGCGGCAGGCUUAACACAUGCAAGUCGAACGGGCCCUUCGGGGUCAGUGGCAGACGGGUGAGUAACGCGUGGGAACGUGCCCUUCAGUUUGGAAUAACCCAGGGAAACUUGGGCUAAUACCGGAUACGCCCUUUGGGGGAAAGAUUUAUCGCUGAAGGAUCGGCCCGCGUCUGAUUAGCUGGUUGGUGAGGUAAUGGCUCACCAAGGCGACGAUCAGUAGCUGGUCUGAGAGGAUGAUCAGCCACAUUGGGACUGAGACACGGCCCAAACUCCUACGGGAGGCAGCAGUGGGGAAUAUUGGACAAUGGGCGCAAGCCUGAUCCAGCCAUGCCGCGUGAGUGAUGACGGCCUUAGGGUUGUAAAGCUCUUUCGCACGCGACGAUAAUGACGGUAGCGUGAGAAGAAGCCCCGGCUAACUUCGUGCCAGCCGCCGCCGUAAGAC
rnacentral:rRNA from 1 species